rnacentral:rRNA from 1 species
GAUGAACGCUGGCGGCGUGCCUAAUACAUGCAAGUCGAGCGAACGGACGAGAAGCUUGCUUCUCUGAUGUUAGCGGCGGACGGGUGAGUAACACGUGGAUAACCUACCUAUAAGACUGGGAUAACUUCGGGAAACCGGAGCUAAUACCGGAUAAUAUUUUGAACCGCAUGGUUCAAAAGUGAAAGACGGUCUUGCUGUCACUUAUAGAUGGAUCCGCGCUGCAUUAGCUAGUUGGUAAGGUAACGGCUUACCAAGGCAACGAUGCAUAGCCGACCUGAGAGGGUGAUCGGCCACACUGGAACUGAGACACGGUCCAGACUCCUACGGGAGGCAGCAGUAGGGAAUCUUCCGCAAUGGGCGAAAGCCUGACUGAGCAACGCCGCGUGAGUGAUGAAGGUCUUCGGAUCGUAAAACUCUGUUAUUAGGGAAGAACAUAUGUGUAAGUAACUGUGCACAUCUUGACGGUACCUAAUCAGAAAGCCACGGCUAACUACGUG